CCUGGGCAGCCUGGCCAUUCUUUUGUGAUGGUAAAUGCUUUAGUUCCUGAAUCCAGGUCACAGGCUCACCCUAUUCAUACAGAAAUACGCCCUUAAGACAGGAUUUGUAAGAAAAGAGACAGUGGGAAGGCUUUCCCCAUUUUCCUCCCUACUGCAGAGGAAUAUUUGAGAUCCCCUGGAGAGUCAAAAUGGUUUCAGGAUUGUUCUCCUGUACUAUUUCAGACACAUGGUUUAAAUACUUAUGUAUGUGUUUGCCUUGUAAAUUUAUGAAAAUUUAUUUUAUAUAUUUGAGACCUUAAAUCCUUAUAACAGUACUGAGUACCUGUAAUCACCUAGUCCUCCUACUCCUGAUAAUUACUUUGGCAGGCAACAUGUAUAACUUAAACGGCGUUUCCGUGCGCUGCUCUGGUUCGCCAGAAGCGGCUCAGUCAUGCUGGCCACAUGACCCGGAAGCUGUACGCCGGCUCCCUCGGCCAAUAAAGCGAGAUGAGCACCGCAACCCCAGAGUCGGUCAUGACUGGACCUAAUGGUCAGGGGUCCCUUUACCUUUACCUAUACACUGAUAGACCUCUCCCCCAUUUUCUUAAAUCGGAGUCCUCCCAAAUAGGGGGUGUCUUAUACAUGGGGGCAUCUUAUAGAUGGAAAAAUAUGGUAUUUCAGGGGCCAUGACCAAAUUUCAAGCAGUUGGUGUGGAGGGAGGGGGAAAGGUUUCUGUCUCCCUCCAGCUAUCUUCUCUCUGCACUCUACACAGGCACAGGAACUCUGCCAAUAGUGAAUGCUGAUUGACAGGAGACCUCUGCAAUACAAUGCAUGGCACAUCACACAAACUCAUUUGAAUGAGAAUUCAGUGUUGAGUUGUAGUGUCCAAGGACAAACAGCUUAAAUAAAUAAAGAUCUGUGCAAAGCUCCACAAGCCCCAUCUCUCUCCUUUCUAUCUGUCCCAAACAGUCCUAGAAAUGCAGCCUGGAAGUUAAAAGAGCAGGAAUGUAGGAAGAAACGAGCAAAGAAAGAAAGAAACUCAAAAGCGUGGGUACACACACACACACACACACACACACACACACCAUGUCCUGGAGCUAUGGUGAUAAAAUAAGAGAUAUACAAGGCAGAAGACAGAUAAGAAACACAACAAUGAAGAUAGAAUAGAUUGGCUAAUGGUUCCAUCAACACCCCACUGAGAAGUUCAAAGGAAAGGUAUAGACAUUUCAGCAGUACUUCAGUUCAGAUGUCAGGAAGAAGGAAGAAAAAAGCCACAAAAGCAAAACAAGCCAACCUACGGAAAGCAGGAAGUUUUUGUGAAAACAGUAAUGGAAUUUUAGG